CCUACGGGUGGCUGCAGUGAGGAAUAUUGGUCAAUGGGCGUAAGCCUGAACCAGCCAAGUCGCGUGAGGGAUGAAGGUUCUAUGGAUCGUAAACCUCUUUUAUAAGGGAAUAAAGUGCGGGACGUGUCCCGUUUUGUAUGUACCUUAUGAAUAAGGAUCGGCUAACUCCGUUCCAGCAGCCGCGGUAAUACGGAGGGUCCGGGCGUUAUCCGGAUUUAUUGGGUUUAAAGGGUGCGUAGGCCGCCUUUUAAGCCAGCGGUGAAAGUCUGUGGCUCAACCAUAGAAUUGCCGUUGGAACUGGGAGGAUUGAGUGUGUCUGAGGCAGGCGGAAUGCGUGGUGUAGCGGUGAAAUGCUUAGAUAUCACGCAGAACCCCGAUUGCGAAGGCAGCCUGCCAAGCCAUUACUGACGCUGAUGCACGAAGGCGUGGAGAUCAAACAGGAUUAGAUACCCUUGUAGUC
rnacentral:rRNA from 1 species